GAUGAACGCUGGCGGCGUGCUUAACACAUGCAAGUCGAACGGAAAGGCUCCUGCUUGCAGGGGUACUCGAGUGGCGAACGGGUGAGUAACACGCGGGUGAUCUGCCCUGCACUUCGGGAUAAGCCCGGGAAACUGGGUCUAAUACCGGAUAGGCCGAUGGUCUGGAUGCAAUUGUGGAAAGUUUUCCGGUGUGGGAUGAGCUCGCGGCCUAUCAGCUUGUUGGUGGGGUAAUGGCCUACCAAGGCGUCGACGGGUAGCCGGCCUGAGAGGGUGUACGGCCACAUUGGGACUGAGAUACGGCCCAGACUCCUACGGGAGGCAGCAGUGGGGAAUAUUGCACAAUGGGCGCAAGCCUGAUGCAGCGACGCCGCGUGGGGGAUGACGGCCUUCGGGUUGUAAACUCCUUUCGCUAGGGACGAAGCGCAAGUGACGGUACCUGGAGAAGAAGCACCGGCUAACUACGUG
rnacentral:rRNA from 1 species